GCAGGAACUAGUGUAUACUUAAGAAACGGUAAGCAGCCCCGUUUGGCUGGAGUACAAGUUAUGUAAAAGAAAGCAGUGGGAGAUAAAGGCUGGAAAUCUGGGUUGGGAUCAGGUCAUGGGGUGCCUCAAAUGCCUUGCAAAAGAAUAUGAAUGCUAUGGCUGGCAAUGGAGAAUCACUGAAGGUUUUGAACAGAGGAAUGAUGUAAUCAGAAUAGAGGUUUAAAAAGAUCAGUCUGGCAGUACGAUGUGGAACAGUUUGGAGGAAGCCGAGGAGUUAUGAGACCGGAGCAAUAAUAAGGUAGAAUUAGAGGAUAAAUCUCAAAUUUGAAAAUGAAAGAGAACCCUAGACAAGAUCUUCUCCAAUUCCUUCAUUUAACAGUGUCUGUUCUCACUAAAUAUCAAGGAUAAGGUUCAGCUCUGCCUCUUUUCAUCCCCCAUGUGCAAAUCUGGGACUCCUGGAACCUGUCUGUGAAAGCCUGUAUGUGGUGGGAGACAACACAGAGCCAAGGAGACUGGCUUCUUGAAUUAUUUUCCAAAUACAAUAUGCAUUAAUUAUUAAAUAAGAAGAAAAAUUAUUUACUUCCUCUUUGGAAAUUUUAAAACCUUGGGCCUCAUAUCAGGAAAGGCAUACCAGCCAAAAGAACAAAGAGAAGAAGCAUUUGCUCAUCAGCAACCAACUUAAAUCACCCCUCUGAAACAUUCCCACGCAGAUGUUGGAAGCUUUCCCAGCGAUAAUCAGCCACCAAGUGGGGCAGGUGAGCUGCCCUGCUUUCCAGGAGUGCCACAGCCAUAAAACAAACCAAACAUUCCAGGAGUGACUCAUUUGAUUAGAGGAGCCAAAAACAGCACUGAGAACAAAAGAAGAAAAAGAACAAGGAUUAUUUUUCAGUAGGGUUACUGAUGGACUCUAGGCACGGACAAUGAGUGGAUGGAAGAAUGAUUUUCUGCUUAUUGUAUAAAAUUAGAUAGACUCAAACAUCAUUAAUAUCUUUAUUCCUGACAUGAGAGCAAGAAUGGCUUGACUUGGGCAACAUCCUUCUGUCAAAUACUUUCUUUUUUUUUUGAGAGGGCAUCUCUCAUAUUUAUUGAUCAAAUGGUUGUUAACAACAAUAAAAUUCUGUA